CUUUACUCGAAUUGGGGCAGAGGAGAGGUAGCAUUUUCGUUUAGCAACGAUGCAAGCAAUUUCAGCGCGGCCCCUGGUCUGAAGCUCGCGACGGGGAGGUCACAGUUCCCGCAGGACCAGGAUCAUACUGGAAGAUUUGCUCCAAUAAAAUGAAGAAGUAAUAAAAAAAAAAAAAGAGGAAGAUAUGGGGUCCAGGAAACGGGAUCAAAUCAAGGACGCAAGGGGAGCUGCUGGAUGACAAGACAUGAUCACGGGACAGGAAAGACAAAUAACAGAGAAAACCAGUAAUCUGUUCCAAAGAGCAAUUUCCAAGGUAUGACAUCAAGGGAAUUUGGAUUCCGUCUUCGGCAUUUAUCUGCAUUUUAAUCACUGAUUGCUGAUGAAGGCAACUUAAUGCUUGAUCACCAGUAUAGAUGAUUGCUCUCACCUUUUUAGUGUGUUUAUGUAAUCGCAGAAACAUGCAAAGUUGCUUAUUUCAUAGAUCUAUA